CAAAAACAUAGCUGUACGUUUUUUAAUGUAUAGUGAUUUCUGCUCAUGAAUAUUAAAUAGCCGCAGUACCCUGACUGUGCUAAGGUAGCGCAAUCAAUUGACUUUUAAAUGAAGUCCUGUAUAAAAGAAAACAUGGGGGGCUACUUUUUCAUUACUAAUAAACGAAUUUGCUAAGAGAGUGCAAAUUCUCUCAAAAAAAUAAAAGACGAGAAGACCCUAGAAAUUUUCAUUGAAAUUUUUGUUGGGGCAACACGGUGGUAUUUCAAAUCCACUUUGACGACACGGAAGAGGUAUUUAGGAAGAUUAAAUUACUCUAGGGAUAACAGCAUAAUUUUUGAAAGUUUGUGACCUCGAUGUUGGAUUAGGGAAUUUUCAUUUAGAAGAUAAAAAUGGGCCUCUGUUCG
rnacentral:rRNA from 1 species